rnacentral:lncRNA from 1 species
AUGAGCCCCUCAGAUCGCAAUGAUGAGAUGCAGAGGAAUCUGAAUCACCACAAUGACUCCGUAAAUGAGUAUCAUUUGGUGACUAGGAUGCCCAAGGUCUCUGAUUACAAUGGCAGCAGUAUUUACGCUCAAAUUGAUACGGACAAAUCUGCAAGUCUUCCUCUCAGUGUUUUAUCCAAUGACACAGACAGUGAAAGAGCGCAGAGUGAAGGGAGUGGAACUAUGUCAACCAGCUCUCGAUUCUCAGCAAAAUCAAUGCCAGGGACUCCGUCUAGCCGAGGACAGAGUCCGCGUAGACUUCGAGACACGGGUGAAGCACGGUUGCGACCAGAGGUUGCAUCGAGAUCGCCAGCCAAUAGACACAGUGCAAAUCUGAACAGCACCCUUCAGCAAGACCUGAUGAAACUGAUAAGCCCAGAGUAUCUCUCCUCUGACGACUCGACUCUGAACAAGUCCCAUGGUGGAAAUAUGUCUGGACUAAGCGGGAAAAUCUAUAGUAACGGCAACAGCGUUUCCCAGAGCACAACCAGUAUCCCAGAUUUGUUGCACCGCUCCAAAUCUCGUGACAACAUUCACAGUAGUGCCAAUUCAACUCUAAGCGGCUCAGCAUUGAGUGUGGCCAGCGAGGUCAUUCUUACCAUGGCUCGCCCGGCCACCGUUAUUUCCAAUGCACCCAGUCCUCAGCCUGGGCCUAUGGAAUCCAAACUCUCCAAAGAAGAAAGACUGUCACCUCGAGUCACAAAGCUGAGUCCUGUUAAAGCGGACCCGAAUCUCGUAAUGUCUCCGGAAUACCGGGAAGACAAAAGAAGCUCCAGCAUGCGAGAGAAACUGUCCAACUCCAUGAUUCAUAUUUCAAACUCAAGUUCUGCCUCUGAUACAGGGAUUUAUGGAGUCAGCUCUAGUACACCCCACAAAAAAAAUGAUGAAAACCUCGGCAUCUGGGUCUCUGAUGUCGCUGAAAAACUUGGAUUAGAUUCCUGUUCAAAAAUAACAAAUCGUCAGAUGGUAGAGCUGCAAAAGCACUUAUCGCAGCUAGAGAGUCGCCUGACAAGAGAGACCAAACGCAGGCUAUCUCUGGAAGACGAAGUUAGAAGCCUGCGGGAUGAAAACCGGAGACUACAAGAAGAAUCUCAAAACACUGCCCAACAGUUCCGUCAGUUCACCAACUGGUUUUAUCAAACGAUCGAAAAACAGCAAUAA